CGGACGGGUGAGUAACACGUAGAGAACCUACCUUACACAGGGGGACAACGGCUGGAAACGGCUGCUAAUACCGCAUAAGCACCCAGUUUCGCAUGAAACAGAGUGAAAAGAGUAAAUCGGUGUAAGAUGGCUCUGCGUCUGAUUAGCUAGUUGGUGGGGUAAAGGCUCACCAAGGCGACGAUCAGUAGCCGGCCUGAGAGGGUGGACGGCCACAUUGGGACUGAGACACGGCCCAAACUCCUACGGAAGGCAGCAG
rnacentral:rRNA from 1 species